rnacentral:rRNA from 1 species
UACGAAGGGGGCUAGCGUUGCUCGGAAUCACUGGGCGUAAAGGGCGCGUAGGCGGCCGGCCAAGUCGGGGGUGAAAGCCUGUGGCUCAACCACAGAAUGGCCCUCGAUACUGGACGGCUCGAGACCGGAAGAGGUUGGUGGAAUUGCGAGUGUAGAGGUGAAAUUCGUAGAUAUUCGCAAGAACACCAGUGGCGAAGGCGGCUCACUGGCCCGGUACUGACGCUGAGGUGCGAAAGCGUGGGGAGCAAACAGG